rnacentral:rRNA from 1 species
GGGUUGUGAGGUUAAGCGACUAAGCGUACACGGUGGAUGCCCUGGCAGUCAGAGGCGAUGAAGGACGUGCUAAUCUGCGAUAAGCGUCGGUAAGGUGAUAUGAACCGUUAUAACCGGCGAUUUCCGAAUGGGGAAACCCAGUGUGUUUCGACACACUAUCAUUAACUGAAUCCAUAGGUUAAUGAGGCGAACCGGGGGAACUGAAACAUCUAAGUACCCCGAGGAAAAGAAAUCAACCGAGAUUCCCCCAGUAGCGGCGAGCGAACGGGGAGCAGCCCAGAGCCUGAAUCAGUGUGUGUGUUAGUGGAAGCGUCUGGAAAGGCGCGCGAUACAGGGUGACAGCCCCGUACACAAAAAUGCACAUGCUGUGAGCUCGAUGAGUAGGGCGGGACACGUGGUAUCCUGUCUGAAUAUGGGGGGACCAUCCUCCAAGGCUAAAUACUCCUGACUGACCGAUAGUGAACCAGUACCGUGAGGGAAAGGCGAAAAGAACCCCGGCGAGGGGAGUGAAAAAGAACCUGAAACCGUGUACGUACAAGCAGUGGGAGCACGCUUAGGCGUGUGACUGCGUACCUUUUGUAUAAUGGGUCAGCGACUUAUAUUCUGUAGCAAGGUUAACCGAAUAGGGGAGCCGAAGGGAAACCGAGUCUUAACUGGGCGUUAAGUUGCAGGGUAUAGACCCGAAACCCGGUGAUCUAGCCAUGGGCAGGUUGAAGGUUGGGUAACACUAACUGGAGGACCGAACCGACUAAUGUUGAAAAAUUAGCGGAUGACUUGUGGCUGGGGGUGAAAGGCCAAUCAAACCGGGAGAUAGCUGGUUCUCCCCGAAAGCUAUUUAGGUAGCGCCUCGUGAAUUCAUCUCCGGGGGUAGAGCACUGUUUCGGCAAGGGGGUCAUCCCGACUUACCAACCCGAUGCAAACUGCGAAUACCGGAGAAUGUUAUCACGGGAGACACACGGCGGGUGCUAACGUCCGUCGUGAAGAGGGAAACAACCCAGACCGCCAGCUAAGGUCCCAAAGUCAUGGUUAAGUGGGAAACGAUGUGGGAAGGCCCAGACAGCCAGGAUGUUGGCUUAGAAGCAGCCAUCAUUUAAAGAAAGCGUAAUAGCUCACUGGUCGAGUCGGCCUGCGCGGAAGAUGUAACGGGGCUAAACCAUGCACCGAAGCUGCGGCAGCGACGCUGAUGCGUUGUUGGGUAGGGGAGCGUUCUGUAAGCCUGUGAAGGUGUGCUGUGAGGUAUGCUGGAGGUAUCAGAAGUGCGAAUGCUGACAUAAGUAACGAUAAAGCGGGUGAAAAGCCCGCUCGCCGGAAGACCAAGGGUUCCUGUCCAACGUUAAUCGGGGCAGGGUGAGUCGACCCCUAAGGCGAGGCCGAAAGGCGUAGUCGAUGGGAAACAGGUUAAUAUUCCUGUACUUGGUGUUACUGCGAAGGGGGGACGGAGAAGGCUAUGUUGGCCGGGCGACGGUUGUCCCGGUUUAAGCGUGUAGGCUGGUUUUCCAGGCAAAUCCGGAAAAUCAAGGCUGAGGCGUGAUGACGAGGCACUACGGUGCUGAAGCAACAAAUGCCCUGCUUCCAGGAAAAGCCUCUAAGCAUCAGGUAACAUCAAAUCGUACCCCAAACCGACACAGGUGGUCAGGUAGAGAAUACCAAGGCGCUUGAGAGAACUCGGGUGAAGGAACUAGGCAAAAUGGUGCCGUAACUUCGGGAGAAGGCACGCUGAUAUGUAGGUGAAGUCCCUCGCGGAUGGAGCUGAAAUCAGUCGAAGAUACCAGCUGGCUGCAACUGUUUAUUAAAAACACAGCACUGUGCAAACACGAAAGUGGACGUAUACGGUGUGACGCCUGCCCGGUGCCGGAAGGUUAAUUGAUGGGGUCAGCGCAAGCGAAGCUCUUGAUCGAAGCCCCGGUAAACGGCGGCCGUAACUAUAACGGUCCUAAGGUAGCGAAAUUCCUUGUCGGGUAAGUUCCGACCUGCACGAAUGGCGUAAUGAUGGCCAGGCUGUCUCCACCCGAGACUCAGUGAAAUUGAACUCGCUGUGAAGAUGCAGUGUACCCGCGGCAAGACGGAAAGACCCCGUGAACCUUUACUAUAGCUUGACACUGAACAUUGAGCCUUGAUGUGUAGGAUAGGUGGGAGGCUUUGAAGUGUGGACGCCAGUCUGCAUGGAGCCGACCUUGAAAUACCACCCUUUAAUGUUUGAUGUUCUAACGUGGACCCGUGAUCCGGGUUGCGGACAGUGUCUGGUGGGUAGUUUGACUGGGGCGGUCUCCUCCUAAAGAGUAACGGAGGAGCACGAAGGUUGGCUAAUCCUGGUCGGACAUCAGGAGGUUAGUGCAAUGGCAUAAGCCAGCUUGACUGCGAGCGUGACGGCGCGAGCAGGUGCGAAAGCAGGUCAUAGUGAUCCGGUGGUUCUGAAUGGAAGGGCCAUCGCUCAACGGAUAAAAGGUACUCCGGGGAUAACAGGCUGAUACCGCCCAAGAGUUCAUAUCGACGGCGGUGUUUGGCACCUCGAUGUCGGCUCAUCACAUCCUGGGGCUGAAGUAGGUCCCAAGGGUAUGGCUGUUCGCCAUUUAAAGUGGUACGCGAGCUGGGUUUAGAACGUCGUGAGACAGUUCGGUCCCUAUCUGCCGUGGGCGCUGGAGAACUGAGGGGGGCUGCUCCUAGUACGAGAGGACCGGAGUGGACGCAUCACUGGUGUUCGGGUUGUCAUGCCAAUGGCACUGCCCGGUAGCUAAAUGCGGAAGAGAUAAGUGCUGAAAGCAUCUAAGCACGAAACUUGCCCCGAGAUGAGUUCUCCCUGACUCCUUGAGAGUCCUGAAGGAACGUUGAAGACGACGACGUUGAUAGGCCGGGUGUGUAAGCGCAGCGAUGCGUUGAGCUAACCGGUACUAAUGAACCGUGAGGCUUAACCUUACAACGCCGAAGGUGUUU